UGGGGAAUAUUGGACAAUGGGCGCAAGCCUGAUCCAGCCAUGCCGCGUGAGUGAAGAAGGCCUUCGGGUUGUAAAGCUCUUUUACCAGGGACGAUAAUGACGGUACCUGGAGAAUAAGCCCCGGCAAACUUCGUGCCAGCAGCCGCGGUAAUACGAAGGGGGCUAGCGUUGUUCGGAAUUACUGGGCGUAAAGCGCACGUAGGCGGAUUGUUAAGUCAGAGGUGAAAUCCCGGAGCUCAACUUCGGAACUGCCUUUGAUACUGGCAAUCUAGAGUCCGGAAGAGGUUAGUGGAAUUCCCAGUGUAGAGGUGAAAUUCGUAGAUAUUGGGAAGAACACCAGUGGCGAAGGCGGCUAACUGGUCCGGUACUGACGCUGAGGUGCGAAAGCGUGGGGAGCAAACAGGAUUAGAUACCCCCGUAGUCCCUGAGCGGGCUGGCAAGGCGCAU
rnacentral:rRNA from 1 species